CAGGACUCGCAAGACUCCUACAACCCUGUGAACCCUACUAUACGAACGUUGCUUUCGGCCGGGUGCGCCCCGGGGAUUCGUUCCCGCGGCGCGUCAGCCCGCCGGCCAAGCCUACAAAUUCUGUUUCUUUGCGUUGGCAUCUCGAGAAAAACAAUGAGUUA
rnacentral:misc_RNA from 1 species